GCCCGGUUAGCUCAAUCGGUAGAGCGUGAGACUCUUAAGUGUACAUGAAAUCUCAAGGUUGCGGGUUCGACCCCCGCAUCGGGCU